UGAAGUUCCACGUGAGAGAGGUUU
rnacentral:piRNA from 1 species